AACAGAUUUGAGAAAAGAUCGAACUGACAAAGAACUAAUGAAGAUGGUACAAUGGUGGGCACCAAGAUCCCUCUAGGAUCUCUUAUAUGACUAGGUCCUUGGGUCAUACAUUUGAAACAGCUGAGAUGCCCACCCAAUAACCAUAUAUAUAUAUACUUGAACAUAAGUCCCUGGAUCAUUAUUUUAAAUUGGACUAGAUCCCUAUCCUACAGCCAAAGAUGAAAACGAGUAUGCUACCAGAAAAAGCUUUGGAGGUCAGUCCCCACCCCUAAGGGAUAUAACAUGGGCACACUAGAUCCCAAACAUUUGACAAUAUAUAAAAUUGCUAGCAUGAACAUAUGCAUACACAUUAAGAGGUCCAUGUAUUCAUUUAAUGAGAACAUUUUACCAUGAUCGCUUGAAUAUCUUAGUGCUCAGCCUGGUAUAUGAACUGGUAUUGUCCAGCUUAUUCAGUAUUUUCUGGUUUAAGUUUAAAAGAUAUGUUUUAUAUGUGAAUGUUACUAUACACAUUUCAUAUUUUCCCAAACAAAUCUCGAUUCCUCUUCUUGAAAAUUUCAGGAGUUACAGCAAUGCUCACUUGCUUUCUCUGCACCCCAGGAAAACAUGACAAUAUCACUGUACAUGCCACCCUUUGGAUGAUCUUUUGAUGUACAUCAGAAGAAUGGUGCUGCAGCUUAAUGAUUUCAUCAAAAAGUGAACAUUCCGGGUGUCAUCAAAUUUGAACUUUUCAGCUGUCAACAAAGUUGAACCUUCCAGCUGUCAACAAAGAUGAGGAAAAAUCUACCUGUCAUGAAUUGAGAACAUUCCUGAUGUCAUCAAAGGUGGACAUUUUAACUACCAACGAGGGAGAACAUUGAAAGUGUCAUGGAGUUGAAACUUCUAGUUGUCAAUGAUUAAAUGCGAACUUUCGAAGAAUCAUCAAGGGCGAGAAAUCAAGCUGUAUCAAGGUGAACAUCCAGCUGUUAUCAAAGUGAACAUUCCAAAUGUCAACAUGAUAAUGUCAAUAAUGCAGAACAUUCAAAAGUGAUAAUUUCUAAUGACAUCAAAAGUGAACAUUCAAACAGAAAACAUCUGAGGUGUCAGAUAUAUAAGUUAAACAUUGCAGGUUUCGUCACAAUUGACGAGUGUAUCUCUACAAUGAUGUUAUCAAAGUACUAUGAAAGCUUUUAUCAAAAGUGAACAUUCGAGGUCAAUCCAGCAAUCUUGAGAUCAUCAGUGACAAUACUAAAGAACAGUAGAACUUGUAACUUAAUGUCAUCAAUACCGAACAAUUUAUGCAUACGAUUAUUAUGCGACACCAUUUUGUUUUUAAAGCAUUUAGACAUUACUUUAGAUGUGAUGAUGCUAUGAUGGACAUUUAAGGAAUAUAAUAUCAGUUAAAAGGAUACUAGAAUUAUAUAUUUUUGACAUUGGAGACAUUAUCGAAAACAA